rnacentral:rRNA from 1 species
UUAAAUUGAAGAGUUUGAUCAUGGCUCAGAUUGAACGCUGGCGGCAGGCCUAACACAUGCAAGUCGAACGGUAACAGAACAG